rnacentral:rRNA from 1 species
GAUGAACGCUAGCUACAGGCUUAACACAUGCAAGUCGAGGGGAAACGGCAUUGAGUGCUUGCACUCUUUGGACGUCGACCGGCGCACGGGUGAGUAACGCGUAUCCAACCUUCCCAUUACUGUGGGAUAACCUGCCGAAAGGCAGACUAAUACCGCAUAGUCUUCGAUGACGGCAUCAGAUUUGAAGUAAAGAUUUAUCGGUAAUGGAUGGGGAUGCGUCUGAUUAGCUUGUUGGCGGGGUAACGGCCCACCAAGGCUACGAUCAGUAGGGGUUCUGAGAGGAAGGUCCCCCACAUUGGAACUGAGACACGGUCCAAACUCCUACGGGAGGCAGCAGUGAGGAAUAUUGGUCAAUGGACGGAAGUCUGAACCAGCCAAGUAGCGUGCAGGAUGACGGCCCUAUGGGUUGUAAACUGCUCUUGUAUGGGGAUAAAGUUAGGGACGUGUCCCUAUUUGCAGGUACCAUACGAAUAAGGACCGGCUAAUUCCGUGCCAGCAGCCGCGGUAAUACGGAAGGUCCAGGCGUUAUCCGGAUUUAUUGGGUUUAAAGGGAGCGUAGGCUGGAGAUUAAGUGUGUUGUGAAAUGUAGACGCUCAACGUCUGAAUUGCAGCGCAUACUGGUUUCCUUGAGUACGCACAACGUUGGCGGAAUUCGUCGUGUAGCGGUGAAAUGCUUAGAUAUGACGAAGAACUCCGAUUGCGAAGGCAGCUGACGGGAGCGCAACUGACGCUUAAGCUCGAAGGUGCGGGUAUCAAACAGG